rnacentral:lncRNA from 1 species
AGAUAUUAGCUUAAUAACUUAUGUGAUGGGUUUCCAAACUUUAUUGAUGCAUGUUCAAAUGCUCUGAAGUCAUCAUCCCUCCCAUUUGUCAAACUAUGCAACAACCCUGAAGCAACUAAAACAAUUGCUUACAUGGAAAGUGGAGUUAUUUUUAGCUGUUUUGCUAAGGGAUCCAGUUUCUUCUCUACUUUUAAGGCAGCAACAGAAGCUAGUGUGAGCUGUUGGUUUCUAUGUUCUUGAUUCUACAAGCUUUCAGCUUGCAAUAAAGGAAGGGGUCAAGAUACCCAAGAAAAAUACCCUGAACAAUUUCGCUCACCAUACAUUACUUAAAAGCAGUUGAGCAAAAAUCUUUGGUUUUCAGGGAAAAGGAAAAAAACAGAAGGGGAUAUCUUUACACAUCUUCCCUCUGGGUAGGAUGCGGAUGACUGUCCUAAUACAAAUUCAGUUGCAAUUUCAUUCAAGCCGAGAAAACUUUGAACCAAACUUUGCGCCAGACUGCUUCUUUGUGUUGCCUACCAGGAUCAUGGCGGGAGGCCACUGAAUGUCGUGGCUCUUGUGCAUGUACGCUUGGGGGAGCUGGGAAAGGAGAAAAGGAAACGAGAAAGCAUCUGAGAGCGCUUUGCGGUAAGCCUUUCCCCCUUCCCCGGCCAGCAAGGGCUCGCUACGUGGGUUAACUGCCCUCAGGAAGGGGGGGGGUGGCGGCCCAGCGAGGUGCUGCUACGUGUGCUACUCUUUUUCAGCGAGGAGCGGGGGACGGCCGUACAUAACCGUAUUGCUUUAAAGUUUCUUCCUGAGAAAAAGGGAGGAAAAAAGCUUAAAAUACAGGAAAGAAGAAUGGAGGACAUAGCAGGUUUAUGCUUGUCUAUUGCUGGGAAUUUGAAGAAGGAUAGACUACUGAGUUUGCUGAGUAUACAGAUGACUUGGACCAGCCCUGCCUCUUAUAUACACUGUGAAUCCAGGUUAUACUAUUUUCAACAUCUUAUAAUAAC